UAUAUUAUAGAGCGCAGUGGUUUUCUGUUUCAUGAUGAGUACAUAAAAAUUGAGGAAGUGGAUAACAACACAAGAUUACAAGAUGUUGAAUGGCAUGUUAGUAAGCAAGCAGAUUGAGAUAGUGACAUGUUUAACAGCAGUAGUGUUGAGCUUAAAGAAAAAUGCUUAGAAAAUUGAGAAAGCAGAGAGCAACACAAGAACUGAUUCUGAGUGGCAUGUUGGUAAGCAGGCAGAUUGACACGAGUGAUGUGUUAAAAAGCAGUGUUUUCACUUCAUAAAUUGGAAAAAUGGAUAACAACUGAAGAAAUACUAGAUUCUGUUGAUUUAUUUGCAUAUUCAACAGACCAACUAUCCUCAUUACCAGGCAGAGAAAUGAUGAAUAUUCAUUGAAUUCAGCUAGAACUGCAAAAACCAGCAAAACUGCAGAACUAACACCAAGUCAAAAACAACUUCUGAGAGGCAUAUAUAUCUUUCAGCGGGGCCAAGGGCGGUGGGUGGCGCGUAGGUUCCACGUGUGGCGAUCGCCUAUUAUAGGCGAUUGCUUCCGCUUGGAUAAUCCCGACUGUCUUUUUGCGCGAGACGCUGACGAAAUUUUCCAAAAAAGUUUCGUUAAGAUUUAUUGGUGUUUGAAAUACAGUACACUACAAAUUGUAGUACAACGAA